rnacentral:rRNA from 1 species
GAAGUAAAAGUAGUGUCAAGGUUUCCGUACGUGAGCCUGCGGAAGGAUCAUUAUUUGUUCAUGGGAUACAAAAGUGCUUCUAUAAUGCAAAACCUCCCUGUGUGUCUCUCCGUGUUGCUCUCCCAGGUGGUCGGUUUCGGUCAAUGUCCACUCCUGCAUGCUAGUCGAGUUAACAUCACUAAGCGGGUCCCUGGGAAAGGGCCUUAACAAUGCAAAUAUUUGAAUCAGCUGUCUGAGCCAGGCCCAGCCCCGUAUUAUUUGAAUAAGUUAAAACUUUCAACAACGGAUCUCUUGGCUCUCGCAUCGAUGAAGAACGCAGCGAAAUGCGAUAAGUAAUGUGAAUUGCAGAAUUCAGUGAAUCAUCGAAUCUUGGAAUGCACAUUGCCCCCCUUGGCAUUCCUUGGGGCAUGCCUGUUCGAGCGUCACUGCAAACCCGGUCAUAAAUAUUAUGGUAAUGAUGGAAGUGAAGUGAGGACUCUAAUCUGCCUCGGUCACCGCAUUGAAAUGUACUUGCAGGACAAUCAACCUCUGCAAGGGAGUUAGUAACUGUUUUGUAGCCAUCAAUCAGUCAAGUGUGAGGUUGCUCCCUGGCCUCGAUGGUCU